rnacentral:rRNA from 1 species
AGUGAACGCUGGCGGUAGGCCUAACACAUGCAAGUCGAACGGCAGCACAGUAAGAGCUUGCUCUUACGGGUGGCGAGUGGCGGACGGGUGAGGAAUACAUCGGAAUCUACUUUUUCGUGGGGGAUAACGUAGGGAAACUUACGCUAAUACCGCAUACGACCUACGGGUGAAAGCAGGGGAUCUUCGGACCUUGCGCGAUUGAAUGAGCCGAUGUCGGAUUAGCUAGUUGGCGGGGUAAAGGCCCACCAAGGCGACGAUCCGUAGCUGGUCUGAGAGGAUGAUCAGCCACACUGGAACUGAGACAAGGUCCAGACUCCUACGGGAGGCAGCAGUGGGGAAUAUUGGACAAUGGGCGCAAGACUGAUCCAGCCAUACCGCGUGGGUGAAGAAGGACUUCGGGUUGUAAAGCCCUUUUGUUGGGAAAGAAAAGCAGCAGGUUAAUACCCCGCUGUUCUGACGGUACCCAAAGAAUAAGCACCGGCUAACUUCGUG